GUGAAUGUGGUUUUAAUGGUUUUGUGUCUCAGAUAUGUGGUUGAGCAGGAGGAGUGUGGGGGGGACAGCCUCAGGGUGUUGUUUUGGUUUGGUUUUUUUGUUUGUUUGUUUGUUUUUGUAAUUUAUUUGUUUCCCCUCUCUCCAAUAAGGGAUAACUGCACAGUUCCACGAGCACUCAGUCUCUGCCAGGAGCUGGAGUCAAUUUCCCACCUCUUACCCUUGCAGGCAGUGCUGUUUUCUUCUGAAGCACUACAUGAUCACCACAGCACCCUCAGCAGGGAAUACUAUGGUGCUGUGGGGAAGAGGGAAGUGUCAGGCAGCUGAGAUGGCUCUGCUGCUUCUCCUACCACAGCUUUCAGCCACGAGUGACGCCAUAAAUUCCCCUACUCUGGUUACUGUAAAGUCUUUCAGGGUGGUCAGGACCUGAAUUCCUCACGCAAAAGAAGAAGCAGGGGAAGAGGAAACUGCAAACAAGGGCCUUCCCCACCUCAGGGAUCUGUCACAAGGACUCAGCAAGGCUCCAAGCAUGGUUUCUUGCUCUGCAGUCUCUCAGCUCAAGCCUCCUGGGUAACUGUCCCUCACUCCCCUCUCACCAGUGAACACCCUCCUCCCAGCCUGUGCCUCCCACUCAUGCUCCAGCAGCUCCAUCUGGCUCCUGGGCCCCUCUGAUCUGCAGGUUUGUUAUUGCACUUCAGCUUUGGAGUAACCAGGAGAGGCUCGUCCAGCAUCACAGAGCUGUGGGAACGGCACCGAGUCCUGCCCUGAGCUGUAUGGCACUGGUGCUCCACCAGCUCCCAGCCAGCUUCCAUCCUGGAUCUCAAAUCCAGCUGCUGUGUGAGACACAAGUGGGCUUCUGUGCCACCCCACACCGCCCAGCUUCACCUGAGGGCUGUGCUGAGAUGUCAUGAGAGAAGAUUAGUGAAAAAUCAGCAGCCAAGCAUCAGCACUGCCAGAGAAGGUCCUUGCUAAGGUGAUUGUCCACAGAGCAGGAUGAGGACAGGUCAUUCUGCAGAAAACCAUGGUGACCAUGGCUAACCCCACUCCAAGCAUGUAAGUCUUGUGAAAGGAGUAAAUACACACUUCUCACAACCCUCUGCGCUGGGGGAAGAGCCUUCUUGGAAUAAAGGAGCAAUGCAGGUUGGCUUUGGAGAGGUAGGGACAUG